AAUAUAGAGCCAGCACUGCCCGCUAGCAGCACAGCGCGGAGACUGGAGCCCUAGAGCCCGCCCGAGCAUCAGAGUGUCCACUAGUCCCCGCUAUUCCGGCCCUGCGCCCCUCCGGCCAUAGGUGCGGAGCCGCUGUCUAGAGCCCCAGCCUCACCACCAUGAGACUCCUGCUGGCAUGCCUGCUCCUCUGCGCCCUGGUCGUGAGAGACUCCGAGGGCAGCCACGAACUUCAUCAAGUGUCUGGUGCAUCGAAGUGUGGCUGUCUGAAUGGAGGGAAAUGUGUGUCCUACAAGUACUUCUCCAACAUUCAACGAUGCAACUGCCCAAAGAAAUUCCAAGGGGAACACUGUGAGAUAGAUACAUCGAAAACCUGCUAUCAGGGGAAUGGUCACUCUUACCGAGGGAAGGCCAACACUGACACCAGUGGCCGGCCCUGCCUGGCCUGGAACUCUCCCACCAUCCUUCUGAAAACGUACCAUGCCCACAGACCUGAUGCCCUUCAGCUGGGACUGGGGAAACACAAUUACUGCAGGAACCCAGACAAUCAGAGGAGACCCUGGUGCUAUGUGCACGUUGGCCUAAUGCAGAUUGUCCAGGAGUGCAUGGUGCACAGCUGCUCUUCUGGAAAAAGUGCCCUCUCUCCUCCAGAAAAGUUACAGUGCGGCCAGAAGGCUCUGAGGCCCCGCUUUAAGAUUGUUGGGGGAGAAUUCACCACCAUCGAGAACCAGCCUUGGUUUGCAGCCAUCUAUAGGAGGCACCGUGCAGGCUCUGUCACCUACGUGUGCGGUGGCAGCCUCAUCAGUCCCUGCUGGGUGGUCAGUGCCACACACUGCUUCAUUGAAUACCAAAAGAAGGAGGACUACAUUGUCUACCUGGGUCGGUCAAAGCUUAACUCCAUCACGCCUGGCGAGAUGCAGUUUGAGGUGCAAAAGCUCAUCUUACAUGAGGACUACAGUGCUGACACCCUUGCUCACCACAAUGAUAUUGCCUUGCUGAAGAUCCGUUCCAGCACAGGCCAAUGUGCACAGCCAUCCCGGUCCAUACAGGUCAUCUGCCUGCCCCCAGCGAAUGGGGAUGCCCGUUUUGGUACAAGCUGUGAGGUUACUGGCUUUGGAAAAGAGAAUCCCUCUGACUAUAUCUAUCCAGAGCAGCUGAAAAUGACUGCUGUGAAGCUGGUUUCCCACGAGGAGUGUCAGCAGCCCCACUACUAUGGCACUGAAGUCACCAGCAAAAUGCUGUGUGCGGCUGACCCACAGUGGGAAACAGAUUCCUGCCAGGGAGACUCAGGGGGGCCGCUGGUCUGCUUCACCCAAGGCCUCAUGACUCUGACUGGGAUUGUGAGCUGGGGCCGUGAAUGUGCCAUGAAGGAAAAGCCAGGCGUCUACACAAGGGUCUCAAGCUUCCUGCCCUGGAUCCACACUCACAUUGGGGGGGAGAAUGGCCUAGCCCUCUGAGGGCCCCCAGAGAACCAAGGGAACAGACAGGUACCACCCACUCCCACAGUGACCGUCAUUUUUGCAGUAGGGCCAUCUGCACAGCUAUAUAUAAUGAAGAGACUGAGGAAGAUGAGCUCUGCAGAGGUGGUUUUGCUUGUGCUGCCCAUCAGGGAUUGCAUAGGUGUAUUUUGUGGAAGAUGAAACCUGCUAGGAGAGAAAAGGCAAAGAUGUGAAGCUAAGGAGCCCAGCCCAGGCUGAGUUGCUGCUCAGCCUCUGCAUACCCCGCAGGGGCCAAGAAAGAUCUUGUUCCAACAUGAACAGCGCCAGCAUCAGGGCUCACAGACACUGAAAACAGGAAGUAUGAGCCCUACUGGUGGGUUGAGCAAUGCACUGCUAACAAUCUUCAGACCAUUUCCCAGCCACCUGACCGACCCCAGCCAGCUGCUACCUCUUCCCAGUCACAGACCUCACUCUGGGGUAGCAGGAAUCAGCCACUUCUCCAGCAACCAGUUUCAAGGCUCCAGAUACAACCCUGUCACUCACUUUAGAGACUGCCUUUUUCUAGUGCUCCCUAAGUGCUGGACAAUGUACUAAGUUCUUCACCUAUUAUCUGGUUUAAUCCUUAUAACAAUCCUAUGGGGAAGGUGCCAUCCUUAGCCCCAUUUAACAGCAGAGAAAAUGGAGAUACAGAGAGAUUAGGUGACUUGCCCAAGGCAAUGUGGCUGGUAAGUAGCAGAGUGCUGGCUCCAGAGUGCACAGGCCCAGCACUCUCAGCAGGGCCCAACCUGAGGGAAGGUUAGCAGCCCUCUUUUCAAGCUCCCUACUUCAGGGAUGCUGGGUGCAGGGAGGCUGAGUGUAUGCGAAUUUCAACCCUGGCCUAGAUUAUAAUUCUUUCCUCUUAAAAGAUUCCCAGGCCAAGUAAGCAAAUCACACUCAGCCACCAGUUUCAAAGUAAAACUUUACCCUUCUCAAGCAAACCUCAGCCUUUUUGGUUGAAACCUGAUUUCAUUGAAGUGGUUUUUGUUUUCACCAGAACCCCUCCUUCUGAAAUAGUCUGUGGCUCAUUCUAUUAUCAGGACUCAACUUGAUUUCCACUCAUGCUCUGCCUUUCCCAAGCCAACCCUGCACAACAACAACACCCCUGAAUACACCCCUCCACCCUCAUCCCUGUUUGUCCACCUUCCUCCCCAGUUGCUGACAUUUGAGCCCGCCCUUUGAAUCUCAGUGAGAGGAGUUUGCUGAGGUGUUCUUUAAAUAACAGUACUACUGAGGUAUACUAAAUCACAUACCACACAAUUCACCCGUUUAAAGUGUGCAACUCAAUGAUUUUUUAGUAUAUUCACAGAGUUGUGCAACUAUCACCACAAUCAAUUCUAGAACAUUUUCACCACCUCAAAAAUAAACCCCAUACCGGGGAAGAGGGAUA